CUGCAAUGAUGACAACUUAGGACACCUUUCGAUCAAAUAUGAAAAGAAUCAUGAGUUUGUUUCUGAAAAGC